rnacentral:rRNA from 1 species
UAAUACGGAGGUGGCGAGCGUUGUCCGAAGUUACUGGGCGUAAAGCGCGCGUAGGCGGGCUAGUAAGUCGGAAGUGAAAGGCCGGAGCUUAACCCCAGCAGUGCUCUCGAUACUGUUAGUCUUGAGGGCGGCAGGGAGAAGUGGAAUGGCUGGUGUAGCGGUGAAAUGCGUAGAUAUCAGUCGGAACACCGGUGGCGAAGGCGGCUUCUUGGGCCGUUCCUGACGCUGAGGCGCGAAAGCCAGGGGAGCGAACGGGAUUAGAUACCCUGGUAGUCCUGGCCGUAAACGAUGGAUAC